UCUUGGUCCAAUUAGAGGAAGUAAAAGUCGUAACAAGGUCUCCGUAGGUGAACCUGCGGAGGGAUCAUUACACAAAUAUGAAGGCGGGCUGGAACCUCUCGGGGUUACAGCCUUGCUGAAUUAUUCACCCUUGUCUUUUGCGUACUUCUUGUUUCCUUGGUGGGUUCGCCCACCACUAGGACAAACAUAAACCUUUUGUAAUUGCAAUCAGCGUCAGUAACAAAUUAAUAAUUACAACUUUCAACAACGGAUCUCUUGGUUCUGGCAUCGAUGAAGAACGCAGCGAAAUGCGAUAAGUAGUGUGAAUUGCAGAAUUCAGUGAAUCAUCGAAUCUUUGAACGCACAUUGCGCCCUUUGGUAUUCCAAAGGGCAUGCCUGUUCGAGCGUCAUUUGUACCCUCAAGCUUUGCUUGGUGUUGGGCGUCUUGUCUCUAGCUUUGCUGGAGACUCGCCUUAAAGUAAUUGGCAGCCGGCCUACUGGUUUCGGAGCGCAGCACAAGUCGCACUCUCUAUCAGCAAAGGUCUAGCAUCCAUUAAGCCUUUUUUUUCAACUUUUGACCUCGGAUCAGGUAGGGAUACCCGCUGAACUUAAGCAUAUCAA
rnacentral:sRNA from 1 species